AUACGGAGGAUGCGAGCGUUAUCCGGAUUUAUUAGGUUUAAAGGGUGUGUAGGCGGUAUUUUAAGUCAGUGGUGAAAUCUCGGAGCUUAACUUCGAAACUGCCAUUGAUACUGGAAUACUUGAGUAUAGUUGAGGUAGGCGGAAUAUGUAAUGUAGCGGUGAAAUGCAUAGAUAUUACAUAGAACAUCGAUUGCGAAGGAAGCUUACUAAACUAUUACUGACGCUGAUGCACGAAAGCGUGGGGAGCGAACAGGAGUAGAUACCCCAGUAGUCC
rnacentral:rRNA from 1 species